rnacentral:tRNA from 10 species
GCUCGCGUGGGGUAAUGGAUAACCUGGGAGCUUGCGGAGCUUCUGAUCCGGGUUCAAAUCCCGGCGUGAGCA